CAGUCGCCGCGGUAAUACAGAGGGUGCAAGCGUUAAUCGGAAUUACUGGGCGUAAAACGCGCGUAGGUGGUUCGCCAAGUUGGAUGUGAAAUCCCCGGGCUCAACCUGGGAACUGCAUCCAAAACUGGCGAGCUAGAGUAUGGUAGAGGGUGGUGGAAUUUCCUGUGUAGCGGUGAAAUGCGUAGAUAUAGGAAGGAACAUCAGUGGCGAAGGCGACCACCUGGACUGAUACUGACACUGAGGUGCGAAAGCGUGGGGAGCAAACAGGAUUAGAUACCCGCGUAGUCCCUGUCUCUUAUAC
rnacentral:rRNA from 1 species